rnacentral:lncRNA from 1 species
CUGAUUUCGGCUCAGGUCAUGAUCUCAUGGUCCGUGGGUUCGAGCCCCACAUCAGGCUCUGUGCCGACAGCUCAGAGCCUGGAGCCUGCUUCAGAUUCUGUGUCUCCCUCUCUCUCUGCCCCUCCCCACUCACACUCGGUCUCUCUCUCUCUUUCAAAAAUAAACAUCAAAAAAUUUUAAAAAAAUAAAAAAGGAACAGAAACUUAAACAAGUAGAAAAUCUACUGAUGACUUUCAUUAGACGAACCAAGGAAAUAAUUCGAACCUAGUAAUAACCGUGACAAAAUAUUGCUUACUAAUGAUGAUGCUAAUUAGUACCUUCUUUUUCAUGUAGCAUCUUUCCCUUGCUAAAAAGUUGCCAAAUUUACAAAUUUAUGGAUUGCGCCAUACAAAGACGUGUGAAGCCUUGUUGUGUGGACCGACUUCGGCUUUAGGUCCCCACUUAAAACAGAAGGAAUAGAGCCGAAUGGGACGGUGGAUCUUUCCUGGGUCUAAAGCUGUCAUCCGUCCACGUGCCCCCGCCUGGGCACGGAGGACCAAGGAUGACCCCAGGGCCGAAUCAGCCAGCGGGCCUGGUCCCUAAGGCCUCAUGCAAAGUACGCUGGAUCUGAUACGUUUCAAAAACACAGAUUUAUGCUUUUCUUUUGGAUUCUUAGACCGGAAAUACCUGGCAAAUACCCGUGUUACACGCCGGCCCCCCUCCUGCCAGCUCUGGAGCAGCCAGCCACGGUCCAGCCCGUUAGUGGCACUCUGGUGGCAAACAGGGAUUCUGAAGAGCUCCUCCUCCAUUCGGGUCAGCUGUGACGAUGGGUCUUAGGAAACUCGUUUUCCCAGCAUUUUGUUUCUCAUCGUGGGUAGGAAGUGUGAGCUGGGCAGCCGUGCCUCCUGCUGAUUGUAACAAGCACAAAGGCCGAGGGAGCAGAAGCGGUGAGAACAGCAGAGUCAGCUCCGAUGGGGGAGACACCUGGCUUCCGCCUUCUGCUGAAGCCUGUCUCCGGUGCAGCUGGGAUCAUCGCCGGAGUCUGAUUCACACGUCAGCACCUGAAUCGGCAGCUUUAUCCUGUCAGGAGAGAAUUGCGACAAGAAUUGCAUUCCGAACGACAGGCAAAGCAAUGAUUCAUACUUAAUUCUUAUAAUGAAGUUUGUAGACUAAGAGCUAGUCAACCUAAGCAUUACGGGACAAAGGGAAAGGCAACUAGGAUCUGACACCUAUGUGGAACUAACUACUUCAGUCUUCGAGGGAGAGACAUCGUCCUUCCUGUGGGAGAGAAGAGAGGGCCUCCCGCUUACCCAAGCUGAUGUAGAAAUACGUGGCAUUAGCAUUUAGAGCAAACCCUUGGCCAGAAGAGAGGCGAAGACGACUAAUAUGAAGCAUGGACGAAAUAAAGAGCAGAUAAAGCAUGAAGAAGAUUAACA